rnacentral:rRNA from 1 species
AGAGUUUGAUCAUGGCUCAGGACGAACGCUGGCGGCGUGCUUAACACAUGCAAGUCGAACGGAAAGGCCCCUUCGGGGGUGCUCGAGUGGCGAACGGGUGAGUAACACGUGGGUGAUCUGCCCUGCACUUUGGGAUAAGCCUGGGAAACUGGGUCUAAUACCGGAUAGGACCACGGUCUGCAUGGGCUGUGGUGGAAAGCUUUUGCGGUGUGGGAUGGGCCCGCGGCCUAUCAGCUUGUUGGUGGGGUGAUGGCCCACCAAGGCGACGACGGGUAGCCGGCCUGAGAGGGUGUCCGGCCACACUGGGACUGAGAUACGGCCCAGACCCCUACGGGAGGCAGCAGUGGGGAAUAUUGCACAAUGGGCGCAAGCCUGAUGCAGCGACGCCGCGUGAGGGAUGACGGCCUUCGGGUUGUAAACCUCUUUCAAUGCCGACGAAGCGCAAGUGACGGUAGGCGUAGAAGAAGCACCGGCCAACUACGUGCCAGCAGCCGCGGUA